UACGGGGGGGGCAAGCGUUGUUCGGAAUUACUGGGCGUAAAGGGCUCGUAGGUGGCCAACUAAGUCAGACGUGAAAUCCCCAGGCUCAACUUGGGAACUGCGUCUGAUACUGGAAGGCUUGAAUCCGGGAGAGGGAUGCGGAAUUCCAGGUGUAGCGGUGAAAUGCGUAGAUAUCUGGAGGAACACCGGUGGCGAAGGCGGCAUCCUGGACCGGUAUUGACGCUGAGGCGCGAAAGCCAGGGGAGCAAACGGG
rnacentral:rRNA from 1 species